AAUGAACGUUGGCGGCGUGGAUUAGGCAUGCAAGUCGAGCGAGAACCGUAGCAAUACGGGGACAGCGGCAAAGGGAGAGUAAUACGUGGAUACCUACCCUCGGGUUCGGGAUAGCUGCGGGAAACUGCUGGUAAUACCGAAUAACAUCUCCGGAUCAAGGGUGUGAUUCCGCCCGGGGAGGGGUCCGCGUCCUAUUAGCUUGUUGGUGAGGUAACGGCUCACCAAGGCGAAGAUGGGUACGGGGUGUGAGAGCAUGCCCCCGCUCACUGGGACUGAGACACUGACCAGACACCUACGGGUGGCUGCAGUCGAGAAUCUUCGGCAAUGGGCGCAAGCCUGACCGAGCGACGCCGCGUGCGAGAUGAAGGCCUUCGGGUUGUAAAUCGCUGUCAGUGGGGAGGAAAUGCCAUAGGGUUCUCUCUAUGGUUUGACCUAUCCGCAGAGGAAGGAUGGGCUAAGUUCGUGCCAGCCGCCGCUGUAA
rnacentral:rRNA from 1 species